rnacentral:rRNA from 1 species
CCAGAAAGGGACGGCUAANUACGUGCCAGCAGCCGCGGUAAUACGUAGNUCCCGAGCGUUGUCCGGAUUUAUUGGGCGUAAAGCGAGCGCAGGCGGUUAGAUAAGUNUGAAGUUAAAGGCUGUGGCUUAACCAUAGUACGCUUUGGAAACUGUUUAACUNGAGUGCAGAAGGGGAGAGUGGAAUUCCAUGUGUAGCGGUGAAAUGCGUAGAUAUAUGGAGGAACACCGGUGGCGAAAGCGGCUCUCUGGUCUGUAACUGACGCUGAGGCUCGAAAGCGUGGGGAGCGAACAGGAUUAGAUACCCUGGUAGUCCACGCCGUAAACGAUGAGUGCUAGGUGUUAGGCCCUUUCCGGGGCUUAGUGCCGCAGCUAACGCAUUAAGCACUCCGCCUGGGGAGUACGACCGCAAGGUUGAAACUCAAAGGAAUUGACGGGGGCCCGCACAAGCGGUGGAGCAUGUGGUUUAAUUCGAAGCAACGCGAAGAACCUUACCAGGUCUUGACAUCCCGAUGCCCGCUCUAGAGAUAGAGUUUUACUUCGGUACAUCGGUGACAGGUGGUGCAUGGUUGUCGUCAGCUCGUGUCGUGAGAUGUUGGGUUAAGUCCCGCAACGAGCGCAACCCUUAUUGUUAGUUGCCAUCAUUCAGUUGGGCACUCUAGCGAGACUGCCGGUAAUAAACCGGAGGAAGGUGGGGAUGACGUCAAAUCAUCAUGCCCCUUAUGACCUGGGCUACACACGUGCUACAAUGGCUGGUACAACGAGUCGCAAGUCGGUGACGGCAAGCUAAUCUCUUAAAGCCAGUCUCAGUUCGGAUUGUAGGCUGCAACUCGCCUACAUGAAGUCGGAAUCGCUAGUAAUCGCGGAUCAGCACGCCGCGGUGAAUACGUUCCCGGGCCUUGUACACACCGCCCGUCACACCACGAGAGUUUGUAACACCCGAAGUCGGUGAGGUAACCUU